rnacentral:rRNA from 1 species
GGCGAACGCUGGCGGCGUGCCUAACACAUGCAAGUCGAGCGGGGAUUUAAGUGGAAGUUCUUCGGAAUGGAGAUUUAAAUUCUAGCUGCGGACGGGUGAGUAACGCGUGAACAAUCUGUCCCGUACAGGGGGAUAACACUUGUAAACAGGUGCUAAUACCGCAUAAUACCACGGCCUCGCAUGGGGCUGAGGUAAAAGGAGCAAUCCGGUUCGGGGUGAGUUCGCGUCCGAUUAGCUAGUUGGUGAGGUAACGGCCCACCAAGGCGGCGAUCGGUAGCCGGCCUGAGAGUGUGAACGGCCAUAUUGGCACUGAGAGACCGUACAAUCCUACACGGGGGGGAGGAGUGGAGAAUAUUGGGAAAUGGGCGAGCGUCUGACACAGCAACGGCGCGUGGGGGAAGAAGGUUUUCGGAUUGUAAACCUUUGUCCUAUGGGAAGGAGGAAGUGACGGUAACAUAGGAGGAAGCCCCGGCUAACUACGUG